GCCCGGUUAGCUCAAUCGGUAGAGCGCGAGGUACGAUUUACUUUCUUCCAAAUCUUAUCUAUCAUUCGCUUUACUAAUUCCUGGAUUUAGACUCUUACACCAAAGAGGUUAUCUCGAGGUUGCGGGUUCGACCCCCGCAUCGGGCU
rnacentral:tRNA from 1 species